UAAAUGCCUGCAAAAUCACAAUUUUUUAUUCAUUUUCUUAUGCCAUUUAACAGUCUUUUGAGCAAAGUAGAUAGAUGGAAUAUCUAAGGCCUUCUCCAAACGAACUCCACACGCAUUAAUGGCUUCGCUCGUGAGCUUGAGCCGAACGACAAAACUUUCGGUAUUUGGUUGCGGGUGAACAGUGCCACGUCAAUAUUGACGUUGCACCGUUCACCUACGUUUUUUUUCUGUCUCUACCAGAUUUGCCAAAGAAACGUGCGAAGGAGAAAGACGGUUACCCGGGCGUAAAAUGGAGUUCGAUUGGAGAUGAAUUAGACCAUUUUUUUUACAUUGCAUUUUGGAGUGAAAAAUGAGAUUUUCGGUUCGAGAUGCCCUAACUAUUCCAUUGCUGUUGAAGCCAAAGGCACAGCUUGGGAGCUCUCCAGCAUAAGUGAAAGCGGUAAAUGACAAGCCAUUUGGCAACGUAACCUUCAACAAGUAGCUGCACAUCCGCAAUAGCCAUGGAGUUAUUGACAAUAAGAACAUCGGAGCAAUCAUUACUAGCUUCUUCUUCUUCUUCCUUGGUAGCUGCUCUCCCUGAUUUCGGAACAAACGAAACCCGCUUUAAGAAGCAGUAGGAAAGCCGUCAAUGAAGAUUAAGCUAAAAACUUACGUCUAGAACUGAGACACCGCUCCCUUCUGCAGCACCGACGAGUUCAUCCCAGUACCUUGGAAAGCUUUGCUUGUUAUUCUUGC